GACGAACGCUGGCGGCGUGCUUAACACAUGCAAGUCGAACGGAAAGGCCCUGCUUUUGUGGGGUGCUCGAGUGGCGAACGGGUGAGUAACACGUGAGUAACCUGCCCUUGACUUUGGGAUAACUUCAGGAAACUGGGGCUAAUACCGGAUAGGAGCUCCUGCUGCAUGGUGGGGGUUGGAAAGUUUCGGCGGUUGGGGAUGGACUCGCGGCUUAUCAGCUUGUUGGUGGGGUAGUGGCUUACCAAGGCUUUGACGGGUAGCCGGCCUGAGAGGGUGACCGGCCACAUUGGGACUGAGAUACGGCCCGGACUCCUACGGGAGGCAGCAGUGGGGAAUAUUGCACAAUGGGCGCAAGCCUGAUGCAGCAACGCCGCGUGCGGGAUGACGGCCUUCGGGUUGUAAACCGCUUUCGCCUGUGACGAAGCGUGAGUGACGGUAAUGGGUAAAGAAGCACCGGCUAACUACGUG
rnacentral:rRNA from 1 species